UACGGAGGGUGCAAGCGUUAUCCGGCUUCACUGGGUUUAAAGGGUGCGUAGGCGGGCAGGGAAUUCAGUGGUGAAAUCUCCGGGCUUAACUCGGAAACUGCCGUUGAUACUCUCUGUCUUGAAUCCCGUGGAGGUGAGCGGAAUAUGUCAUGUAGCGGUGAAAUGCUUAGAUAUGACAUAGAACACCAAUUGCGAAGGCAGCUCGCUACACGAAGAUUGACUCUGAGGCACGAAAGCGUGGGGAUCAAACAGG
rnacentral:rRNA from 1 species